rnacentral:rRNA from 1 species
UGAGCAAUCUGCCCUUCUCAUCGGAAUAAGCGUUGGAAACGACGUCUAAUGCCGAAUACGACCUCCUUUCGCAUGAUCGGAGGUGGAAAGCUCCGGCGGAGAAGGAUGAGCUCGCGGCCUAUCAGCUAGUUGGUGUGGGUAAUGGCCCACCAAGGCGACGACGGGUAGCCGGCCUGAGAGGGUGACCGGCCACACUGGUACUGAGACACGGCCCAGACUCCUACGGGAGCAG